rnacentral:rRNA from 1 species
AGUCUCUAUCGAGGUUAAAGGUACCCGUACCGCAAACCGACACAGGUGGGUGAGGAGAGUAUCCUAAGGCCAGCGAGAGAACUGUUGUUAAGGAACUCGGCAAAAUGACCCCGUAACUUAGGGAUAAGGGGUGCCACCAUCAGGUGGCCGCAGAGAAUAGGCCCAAGCGACUGUUUACCAAAAACAUAGGUUUCUGCUAAGUCGCAAGACGAUGUAUAGGAGCUGACGCCUGCCCGGUGCUGGAAGGUUAAGGGGAUCUGUUAGAGCAAUCGAAGCAGUGAACUUAAGCCCCAGUAAACGGCGGCCGUAACUAUAACGGUCCUAAGGUAGCGAAAUUCCUUGUCGGGUAAGUUCCGACCCGCACGAAAGGCGUAACGAUUUGGGCACUGUCUCAACAACAGACUCGGUGAAAUUGUAAUUCCGGUGAAGAUGCCGGAUACCUGCGACAGGACGGAAAGACCCCAUGGAGCUU